rnacentral:lncRNA from 1 species
UCCUCCUCCUCGAGUAGUAAUCUCUCACGAUCUUCGAGCAACAGUGAUCCCAUGAUCUUCGAGUAGUUCUCCUCCUUCCGCAAUCUCCUCCUCCUCGGCAGCUCUUCUCCUCCUUUCCUUCUCUCAUUCUCAUCGAUUGUGGCAGUGAUAUAGAUUGCAAGGAUCCUCAAGACCAUCAUGAACCAGGCCAUUGAUGCCCUACUCCUACCUUGGACCCCAUCUUUCGACUUAGCCACCUGGAUCAUGG